rnacentral:rRNA from 1 species
AUUGAACGCUGGCGGCAGGCCUAACACAUGCAAGUCGAGCGGGGCGGCAGACGGGUGAGUAAUGCCUAGGAAUCUGCCUGGUCGUGGGGGAUAACGUCCGGUAACGGGCGCUAAUACCGCAUACUAGCAGAUGAGCCUAGGGCGGAUGAGCUAGUUGGUGGGGUAAAGGCCUACCAAGGCGACGACCCGUACCUGGUCUGAGAGGAUGAUCAGUCAACCUGGAACUGAGACACGGUCCAGACUCCUACGGUAGGCAGCAGUGGGGAAUAUUGGACAAUGGGCGAAAGCCUGAUCCAGCCAUGCCGCGUGUGUGAAGAAGGUCUUCGGAUUGUAAAGCACUUUAAGUUGGGAGGCGUUACCAACAGAAUAAGCACCGGCUAACUUCGUGCCAGCAGCCGCGGUAAUUC